rnacentral:rRNA from 1 species
AUUGAACGCUGGCGGCAGGCCUAACACAUGCAAGUCGAGCGGAUGAAGGGAGCUUGCUCCUGGAUUCAGCGGCGGACGGGUGAGUAAUGCCUAGGAAUCUGCCUGGUAGUGGGGGAUAACGUCCGGAAACGGGCGCUAAUACCGCAUACGUCCUGAGGGAGAAAGUGGGGGAUCUUCGGACCUCACGCUAUCAGAUGAGCCUAGGUCGGAUUAGCUAGUUGGUGGGGUAAAGGCCUACCAAGGCGACGAUCCGUAACUGGUCUGAGAGGAUGAUCAGUCACACUGGAACGGAGACACGGUCCAGACUCCUACGAGAGGCAGCAGUGGGGAAUAUUGGACAAUGGGCGAAAGCAUGAUCCAGCCAGGCCGCGUGUGUGAAGAAGGUCUUCGGAGUGUAAAGCACUUUAAGUGGGGAGGAAGGGCAGUAAGUUAAUACCUUGCUGUUUUGACGUUACCAACAGAAUAAGCACCGGCUAACUUCGUG